rnacentral:rRNA from 1 species
GAUGAACGCUGGCGGCGUGCUUAAUACAUGCAAGUCGAGCGAACAGACGAGGAGCUUGCUCCUCUGACGUUAGCGGCGGACGGGUGAGUAACACGUGGAUAACCUACCUAUAAGACUGGGAUAACUUCGGGAAACCGGAGCUAAUACCGGAUAAUAUAUUGAACCGCAUGGUUCAAUAGUGAAAGACGGCUUUGCUGUCACUUAUAGAUGGAUCCGCGCCGCAUUAGCUAGUUGGUAAGGUAACGGCUUACCAAGGCAACGAUGCGUAGCCGAACUGACAGGGUGAUCGGCCACACUGGAGCUGGAACACGGUCCAGACUCCUGCGAGAGGCAGCAGUAGGGAAUCUUCCGCAGUGGGCGAGAGCUUGACGGAGCAACGCCGCGUGAGUGAUGAAGGUCUUCGGAUCGUAAAACUCUGUUAUUAGGGAAGAACAAAUGUGUAAGUAACUAUGCACGUCUUGACGGUACCUAAUCAGAAAGCCACGGCUAACUACGUG